CCUACGGGAGGCAGCAGUGGGGAAUAUUGCACAAUGGGGGAAACCCUGAUGCAGCGACGCCGCGUGAGUGAAGAAGUAAUUCGUUACGUAAAGCUCUAUCAGCAGGGACGAAAUACUGACCUUACGGUCAGCAGACGGUACCUGAGUAAGAAGCCCCGGCUAACUACGUGCCAGCAGCCGCGGGAAUACGUAGGGGGCAAGCGUUAUCCGGAUGUACUGGGUGUAAAGGGAGCGUAGACGGUGCGCCAAGUGUGGAGUGAAAUGCCGCAGCUUAACUGCGGAACUGCUUUGGAAAUUGGCGAACUAGAGUGCGGGAGGGGGAAGCGGAAUUCCUAGGGUAGCGGUGAAAUGCGUAGAUAUUAGGAGGAACACCGGUGGCGAAGGCGGCUUACUGGACCGUAACUGACGUUGAGGCUCGAAAGCGUGGGGAGCAAACAGGAUUAGAUACCCUAGUAGUC
rnacentral:rRNA from 1 species